rnacentral:sRNA from 1 species
AACCGGUCAGUUCAACGCCUCCUCGGCAUGACUGCCAUGCCAAGGAGCAUGUGGUUCUU